rnacentral:rRNA from 1 species
GAUGAACGCUAGCUACAGGCUUAACACAUGCAAGUCGCGGGGCAGCAUGGGGGUUGCUUGCAAUCCCCGAUGGCGACCGGCGCACGGGUGAGUAACGCGUAUCCAACCUGCCCUUCACCACGGGAUAACCCGGCGAAAGUCGGACUAAUACCGUAUGUUGUCCAUUGACGGCAUCCGAUUUGGACGUAAGGUUUGGCGGUGAAGGAUGGGGAUGCGUCCGAUUAGCUGGACGGCGGGGUGACGGCCCACCGUGGCGACGAUCGGUAGGGGUUCUGAGAGGAAGGUCCCCCACACUGGAACUGAGACACGGUCCAGACUCCUACGGGAGGCAGCAGUGAGGAAUAUUGGUCAAUGGGCGUAAGCCUGAACCAGCCAAGUAGCGUGCAGGAUGACGGCCCUAUGGGUUGUAAACUGCUUUUAUGCGGGGAUAAAGUGGCCCACGUGUGGGUUUUUGCAGGUACCGCAUGAAUAAGAACCGGCUAAUUCCGUG